rnacentral:rRNA from 1 species
AUACGGAGGAUCCGAGCGUUAUCCGGAUUUAUUGGGUUUAAAGGGUGCGCAGGCGGGAGAUUAAGUCGGCGGUGAAAUUUUGCAGCUCAACUGUAAAAGUGCCUUCGAAACUGGUUUCCUUGAGUGUAGAUGAAGUAGGCGGAAUUUUUGGUGUAGCGGUGAAAUGCAUAGAUAUCACGAGGAACUCCGAUUGCGCAGGCAGCUUACUAAACUACUACUGACGCUCAGGCACGAAGGCGUGGGGAUCAAACAGGAUUAUAUACCCUGGUAGUCCACGCAGUAAACGAUGAUUACUAGCUGUUUGCGAUACAAUGUAAGCGGCUGAGCGAAAGCGUUAAGUAAUCCACCUGGGGAGUACGUUCGCAAGAAUGAAACUCAAAGGAAUUGACGGGG